GUCCAUGUUGAAGAAAGAUAUAGCCUACACUUGAAAAAUGAGGGAUUAAAAUGCAAGACUUCAGAUGCUGGUGCUCUCUCUUCUGGCUUGAACUCUCCUUUCUUCUUUAAAUUAUAAUGUCUCAACGUUUCAAAGGAGCCUUCGCUAAGAAGCCAUAAUAAGUGACAGGGUGAAAACAGCUACAAACCACACCUAUUGAUGAGUCAGCCCACCUGGCUGUACUUGGCCUCUGUCUGUCUCUGGACCUUUCUGCUGAUCUAGCAGGAGCCCUGUGAGUCGGCAAGACCCUUUUAGGAAGUUUGCAAUUUGUAGACUGAAUACAGUUGGGAAGGGAAUCUCCAAGCACGAAGAUAUAACAGCAGAAACCUGCACAACUGAAAAAACAAAGAGAACAAAGAUCGAAACAACCCAGAAUACCCAAGAACUGAGGGACAACAACCGAAAGUGUAGCAUGCACUAAUAGGAAUAAUAGAAGGAGAAGAAAGAGAGAAAGGAACAGAAGCAGUAUUUGAAGCAAAAAUGCCUGAUAAUUGUCACCAAAUUAAUGUCAGACACCAAAUCACAUAUCCAGGAAUCUCGGUGAACACCAAGCAGGAUAAAUGCUAAAAAGGAAAAUCUACUUCAACUGCCAUAUUCUAUUCAAACUAUAGUAAAGAAAAGAUAAAGGAAAAACUCUGGAAGAAGGCACAGGGAAAAACACCUUUCCUCUGAGGGACUUCUCUUCAGAAACUAUCCAACCAAGAAGAAAGUGAAAUUAAAUAUUUAAAAUGUUGAAAGAAAAGCCACCAACCUAGAAUUCCCACCGUAUGAAAUUAUCCUUCAAAAGUGAAGAGGAAAUAAAAGGCAUGAUCAGUCAAAUAAAAAUCGAGGAAAUUUGUUCCCAGUAGAUAUGCCUUGCAAGACACAUUAAAAGAUGCUCUUUAGGAGAAGGAAAAUAAUCUAGGCCAGAAACUUGGCUCUACAUAAAGGAAGACCAUCAAAGAAGGAACAAGUGAAGGUUGUGGCGUGGACCGAAGGAGCUGUAGAGUUUCGGAAUCUGGAGUGGCUUUCACCUUCUCUGAAUCCACGGAAGUCAGGUUCAGGCAAGCACCUCCUGCUAAGGAAGACCCCAGCUACAGCCAGUAUGCACGGUCUCCUACCACCUCCCUCCUUGGAGAUUGGCUCCGGACAGACACCCAUGUGCCCAGGCCACUUGCUGAAGUCCUGCCUCUCCUUUCAGGGCCAGGCCAAC